rnacentral:sRNA from 1 species
CGAACCUUCCAAGCUAAACAACAAGAGGCCAAACAAUGUUGAAGCCCAAAACUAGAAACAAAUUGAAAGAAAAAUCGUGAAUUCUGCUACCACCGUUGCUACAACACUACAUCUCGAUCAGUCACCAAUUGAAAGAAGCCAGUGGGAUUGCCACGAGUGACACUGAUAACAAACGCAAGCAGAGAGAAGGUGGUGGUGUGGACACCCGAGCCUGUGUGAAGACUGAAAUUCUUCAUACAUUUUGUCGGUAAAUGUCUUGGGUAAUUGCAGAUCGAUUUGAGAUGUGAUAAAUGAAGGACGGAGGCAAGUACGAGGGGUGGAGAAAUAAGUGUAUGACAAGACAAUGUCAGAAUUGUGGAUAAGGAACAUGGGGAUGGGAUAACAAGGGUUAGAAGAAAGAGAAGGUCAAACCUGAAGGCAUAGUCUAGUAAGAUCUACGGCUAUUAGGGUUGAAGAACAAGGUAGAUCGGAAGGGAAACCAUUCACACCACUGUGAGUUUAAAAACUCUCACAAAGAGAGAGAGUCUCUCACACGCAGAGAAGGUAGAUGCCUUUGAUUUUUAAGUAUUUGGUUUCUUUU